rnacentral:misc_RNA from 1 species
GAUGAAGGACGCAGCGAAAUGCGAUACGUAAUGUGAAUUGCAGAAUUCAGUGAAUCAUCGAAUCUUUGAACGCAUAUUGCGCUCUUUGGUAUUCCGAAGAGCAUGCUUGUUUGAGUAUCAGUAAACACCUCAAAGACUUCAAUUUGUAUUGAAUGGCUUUGGACUUGAGCAAUCCCAACACCAGUCUUUACGAUCGGUGGAGGGUUGCUUGAAAUGCAGGUGCAGCUGGACAUUCUCCUGAGCUAAAAGCAUAUUUAUUUAGUCCCGUCAAACGGAUUAUUACUUUUGCUGCAGCUAACAUAAAGGGAGUUUGACCGUAUUGGCUGACUGAUGCAGGAUUUCACAAGGGUCGGCAACGAUUCUUGUAAAACUCGAUCUCAAAUCAAGUAAGACUACCCGCUGAACUUAAGCAUAUCAAUAAGCGGAGGA